CAGGUACUCCCUCCGUUCGGAAUUACUUGUCGCGAAAAUGGAUGUAUCUAGAACUAAAAUACGUCUAGAUACAUCCAUUUCUGCGACAAGUAAUUCCAAACGGAGGGAGUAGUUG
rfam:Triticum aestivum genome assembly, contig: Triticum_aestivum_CS42_TGACv1_scaffold_050276_1BS